rnacentral:rRNA from 1 species
AUUGAACGCUGGCGGCAUGCCUUACACAUGCAAGUCGAACGGUAACGCGGGGCAACCUGGCGACGAGUGGCGAACGGGUGAGUAAUGUAUCGGAACGUGCCCAGUUGUGGGGGAUAACUGCUCGAAAGAGCAGCUAAUACCGCAUACGACCUGAGGGUGAAAGCGGGGGAUCGCAAGACCUCGCGCAAUUGGAGCGGCCGAUAUCAGAUUAGGUGGUUGGUGGGGUAAAGGCUCACCAAGCCAACGAUCUGUAGCUGGUCUGAGAGGACGACCAGCGACCGAGGGACUGAGGCACGGCCCAGCCUCCUACGGGAGGCAGCAGUGGGGAAUUUUGGACAAUGGGCGCAAGCCUGAUCCAGCCAUGCCGCGUGCGGGAAGAGGGCCUUCGGGUUGUAAAGCUCUUUUGUCAGGGAAGAAAAGGCCUGGGCUAAUAUCCUGGGUUCAUGACGGUACCUGAAGAAUAAGCACCGGCUAACUACGUGCCAGCAGCCGCCGUAAAAC